GCCUUCUCUGUCCCAUACAGUAGCCACAUAAUUUGGCUCAGUAUUGCUGGAGCUCUUCUCGUGGUGUUCUUUGCUGGUCUACUUUGGUGCCUAAUGUGUAGACAAAGGAAAUCAGAAGGGAACAAACCUCCCAGAGCAAAUAACAAUGAAAUGCAGGAUUUGCCAGCAGGAAAAGGGAGCAUCGUUUAUGCAACACUGUCAGACAUUCAAAGCAACAAGGAAGCUGCCCAUUGUUCUAAUCAAUAUCAAACUGUGUAUGCAGAAGUGCAAAUUCAAAGCAAAUCG